UUAUGUACCGUCGCUAUGGAAUGCAAGAAAUAAACAAACAGUUCUAGUAUUGCAAUCUUUUCAAAAUGCCUCGUCCAUCUAAGAAAAAGAAAGCAGCGCUCAUUCGCAAAAAUCAGAAAAAUAGAUGGAAUACGUAAAUAGAGUGUGUUUUGGGUAGUGAGUAUGUGCGGAACUCAUCAGUUCAAACAGUGGAAGAACUGCCAGAAGUUGCAGUUCAAAACAAUACCACAGAAUUUAGAAACUGUACUGGUAUCAAUAGAGCAAAUAGCCGAUUUAUCAUCAAGCCCUCUUGUCAAGUGCCACUUGACUAUUCUCUAGAUUUGGUACAUUGCACCAACGAACCAAACGUUUCAAUUCCACAUUUAGCGAAUUUGUUGGUGGAGCGAUCACAGAAUGCAAAUUGGGUUGUUGUUUACAAAGCUCUGAUUACAACACAUCAUGUACUAGCUUAUGGA